GGACCCUGGGCCGGUGUGGGAUCUAAUGUAGAUGCACAGAUGCCUCCGAGGGUAGCACGAUCUAAGGUCACGUGACCGGAAGCAGUACUCGAUUGGACGCGCUGAAGGCACGUGACCGGAAAUGGGUCCGAUUGGACGAACUAAGGGCACGUGACCAGAAUCGGUGCUCGAUUGGGCGAGCUAGGGGCACGUUACCAGAAGUGGGUCCGAUUGGACGACUCAAGGGCACGUGGCCUGAAGCGAGGUCUCGAUUGGACGGGAGGUGCCGGUGUCCUGUCGCUUGACACGGUCUCACCAUCAUCGCUUGCCCUGCUCAUCCUCCUCUCCUUGUACGCAAAGGAGGGAACGGGGCCCGACGGGAUGGGUGCGUUACCUGGGCCUGGAUGUCAAGGAAAGUGAGCUGCUGCUUCUGCGUUUGCUCAGAGG